rnacentral:rRNA from 1 species
UACGGGAGGCAGCAGUGGGGAAUAUUGCACAAUGGGCGCAAGCCUGAUGCAGCCAUGCCGCGUGUAUGAAAAAGGCCUUCGGGUUGUAAAGUACUUUCAGCCGUGAGGAAGGUGUUAAGGUUAAUAACCUUAGCAAUUGACGUUAGCGACAGAAGAAGCACCGGCUAACUCCGUGCCAGCAGCCGCGGUAAUACGGAGGGUGCGAGCGUUAAUCGGAAUUACUGGGCGUAAAGGGCACGCAGGCGGUUAAUUAAGUUGGAUGUGAAAUCCCCGGGCUUAACCUGGGAAUGGCAUUCAAGACUGGUUAGCUAGAGUCUUGUAGAGGGGGUAGAAUUCCAUGUGUAGCGGUGAAAUGCGUAGAGAUGUGGAGGAAUACCGGUGGCGAAGGCGGCCCCUGGACAAAGACUGACGCUCGAUGUGCGAAAGCGUGGGGAGCAAACGAGGGAUUAGA